rnacentral:rRNA from 1 species
UACGGGGGGGGCAAGCGUUGUUCGGAAUUACUGGGCGUAAGGGGCUCGUAGGCGGCCCUCUCAGUCGGAUGUGAAAUCCCCAGGCUUAACCUGGGAACGGCAUCCGAUACUGGAGGGCUUGAAUUCGGGAGAGGGAUGCAGAAUUCCAGGUGUAGCGGUGAAAUGCGUAGAUAUCUGGAGGAAUACCGGUGGCGAAGGCGGCAUCCUGGACCGAGAUUGACGCUGAGGAGCGAAAGCUAGGGGAGCAAACGGG